rnacentral:rRNA from 1 species
UACGUAGGGUGCAAGCGUUGUCCGGAAUCACUGGGCGUAAAGGGUGCGUAGGCGGGUCUUUAAGUCAGGGGUGAAAUCCUGGAGCUCAACUCCAGAACUGCCUUUGAUACUGAAGAUCUUGAGUUCGGGAGAGGUGAGUGGAACUGCGAGUGUAGAGGUGAAAUUCGUAGAUAUUCGCAAGAACACCAGUGGCGAAGGCGGCUCACUGGCCCGAUACUGACGCUGAGCACGAAAGCGUGGGAGCAAACAGGG